rnacentral:rRNA from 1 species
GUGCCAGCAGCCGCGGUAAUACAGAGGGUGCGAGCGUUGUCCGGAAUCACUGGGCGUAAAGGGCGCGUAGGCGGCUUGGUAAGCGUGCGGUGAAAGCUCGGGGCUCAACCCUGAGUCUGCCGUGCGAACUGCCGAGCUAGAGCACGGUAGAGGCACACGGAAUUCCGGGUGUAGCGGUGGAAUGCGUAGAGAUCCGGAAGAACACCGGUGGCGAAGGCGGUGUGCUGGGCCGUUGCUGACGCUGAGGCGCGACAGCGUGGGGAGCAAACAGGAUUAGAAACCCUCGUAGUCC